rnacentral:rRNA from 1 species
UACGAAGGGGGCUAGCGUUGCUCGGAAUCACUGGGCGUAAAGCGCACGUAGGCGGAUUGCUAAGUCAGGGGUGAAAUCCUGGAGCUCAACUCCAGAACUGCCUUUGAUACUGGCGACCUUGAGUCCGGGAGAGGUGAGUGGAACUGCGAGUGUAGAGGUGAAAUUCGUAGAUAUUCGCAAGAACACCCGUGGCUAAGGCGGCUCUCUAGUACGGUACUGACGCUGAGACGCGAAAGCGUGGGGAGCAAACAGG